AAUGAACGUUGGCAGCGUGGAUUAGGCAUGCAAGUCGAGCGACAAGUCUUCCUUCGGGGAGAUGGAGGAGCGGCUAACGGGGUAGUAAAGCAUCGGAACGUACCCUUCAGUCGGGAAUAGCCAUGGGAAACUGUGAGUAAUGCCCGAUGAUAUCUUCGGAUCAAAGGUCUACUGCGAGGAGAGCGGCCGACGUGGUACUAGGUUGUUGGUGAGGUAACGGCUCACCAAGCCGAUGAUGCCUAGGGGGUGUGAGAGCAUGGCCCCCACCACUGGGACUGAGACACUGCCCAGACACCUACGGGUGGCUGCAGUCGAGAAUCUUCGGCAAUGGGCGCAAGCCUGACCGAGCGACGCCGCGUGCGGGACGACGGCCCUUGGGUUGUAAACCGCUGUCAGAGGGGAUGAAAGCGCAAGCUUGACAGAGCCUCAGAGGAAGCGCGGGCUAAGUUCGUGCCAGCAGCCGCGGUAAGACGAACUGCGCAAACGUUAUUCGGAAUCACUGGGCUUACAGGGUGCGUAGGCGGUUCGCCAGGUCAGAUGGGAAAUCCCACAGCUCAACUGUGGAACUGCAUUUGAAACCUGCGAACUUGAGUGAACUAGAGGCAUACGGAACUUCAGGUGGAGCGGUGAAAUGUGUUGAGAUCUGAAGGAACACCAGAGGCGAAGGCGGUAUGCUGGAGUUUGUCUGACGCUGAGGCACGAAAGCCAGGGGAGCGAACGGGAUUAGAUACCCCGGUAGUCCUGGCCGUAAACGAUCUGUACUAGACGGUGGGAGGCUUGCCUUUCACGGUCGUAGCGAAAGCGAUAAGUACAGCGCCUGGGGAGUAUGGUCGCAAGGCUGAAACUCAAAGGAAUUGACGGGGGCUCACACAAGCGGUGGAGCAUGUGGCUUAAUUCGAGGCAACGCGAAGAACCUUAUCCCAGACUUGACAUGUAUGGAUUAGCAAUGUGAAAGCAUUGUGACGCCUUCGGGUGGAACAUACACAGGUGCUGCAUGGUUGUCGUCAGCUCGUGCCUUGAGGUGUUCGGUUAAGUCCGUUAACGAGCGCAACCCAUGUCUUUAGUUAUUAUGUCUAAAGAGACUGCCUUGGUUAACAAGGAGGAAGGUGUGGAUGACGUCAAAUCAGCAUGGCUUUUACGUCUGGGGCUACACACAUGAUACAAUGGUAUAUACAAAGAGCAGCGAUACAGUAAUGUGGAGCGAAUCUCAAAAAUAUAUCUCAGUCCGGAUUGAGGUCUGCAACUCGACCUCAUGAAGUUGGAAUUGCUAGUAAUCGUGAAUCAGAUAUGUCACGGUGAAUAUGUUCCUGGGUCUUGUACUCACCGCCCGUCAUGGCAUGGGAGGCAGUAAUAUUGGAAGUCCCUCUAGUAAUAAGAGGGCCCAUAGUAGGACUGCUGACUGGGCUA
rnacentral:rRNA from 1 species